GCUCCUCACCCAACACCCCUCGCCAUGCUUGCACGCGCCGCUGCUCGCUCGAUUGCCGCCCUCGGAGGCUCGCCAUGCCGCGCCAUGAGCUCAAA
rnacentral:ribozyme from 1 species